CAAAGGUGUUAGUACCUCUGGAUAACAUAUAUAAGAAGGGGGUGAAAACCCUACACAGCAGAGAGGGGAGUGAUAAUAUGUGAGAAAACUACUUUGGAAUCACCAAGCACAUGGAGGACCCCAUCCUGGAGCAGUCUGUUCCUGAAGGACUGAUCCUGUGGGAAUCCUGGAGCAAUUCAUGAAGAACUGCAGCCAUGGGAAGGACUCACAUUGGAGGAGCUCAUGGAGGACUCUCCUGUGAAAGGGACCCCAUGUUGGAGCAUGGCCACUUGUUCUUAUUCUUAAUUUUCAGGAGCUCUAAAAAUGGGAAUUUCAGAAAAUCCAGAUUCCCCUAGGAAGCUCAAACUGCGCCUAGGCCACUGUUUAUGUUUAAAUGUGUUGAUUAACAUUCCAAGUAGACAAGAUGGAUGUUCCACAGGUUGGAUCAUUCUCCUUAAUUACUGUUGCAGAUUCUUCUUCAAUAUUAUUCAAUAAUCUUAACUUCUACUAAUUUAGUUUUCCAGCUAAAGUAACUUUUGAUCAC